GGGAUAAUAGUCUAGUCGUAUGAUACCCGCUUUGGGGUGCGGGUGGUCCCGGGUUCAAUUCCCGGUUGUCCCC
rnacentral:tRNA from 2 species